rnacentral:rRNA from 1 species
GUGCCAGCAGCCGCGGUAAUACGUAGGGCGCAAGCGUUAUCCGGAAAUUAUUUGGGCGUAAAGAGCUCGUAGGCGGUUUGUCGCGUCUGCUGUGAAAUCCGGAGGCUCAACCUCCGGCCUGCAGUGGGUACGGGCAGACUAGAGUGCGGUAGGGGAGAUUGGAAUUCCUGGUGUAGCGGUGGAAUGCGCAGAUAUCAGGAGGAACACCGAUGGCGAAGGCAGAUCUCUGGGCCGUAACUGACGCUGAGGAGCGAAAGGGUGGGGAGCAAACAGGCUUAGAUACCCUGGUAGUCC